UCCUCCGUGGCGCAAUUGGCUAGCGCGUCGUGAGUUCUUCCCCAUGUCUGACACUAUCGUGAGUGUUGCCGUUGUUUACUAACCAUAUUCGUAUAGUGACUGUUAAUCAGGAGGUUGACAGUUCAAGCCUGUCCGGGGGAG
rnacentral:tRNA from 1 species